UAGGGAGGAGGCAAGCGUUAUACGGAAUUAUUGGGCGUAAAGCGUCCGUAGGUGGUUGACCAAGUCUGCUGUCAAAGGGUGGGGCUUAACCUCAUAAAGGCAGUGGAAACUGGUGAGCUAGAGUGCGGUAGGGGUAAGGGGAAUUCCCAGUGUAGCGGUGAAAUGCGUAGAGAUUGGGAAGAACAUCGGUGGCGAAAGCGCCUUGCUGGGCCUGCACUGACACUGAGGGACGGCAGCUAGGGGAGCGAAAGGG
rnacentral:rRNA from 1 species